AAACAUGAGUGUGAUCUGCGUCCUCAUCUGGACUCUCCUCUGCUGCUGCUUCACAGAGUCCAGAGGACAGGUCACAGUGACUCAGCCUGGAGCAGUGAGCUCCAAUGUGGGAGGAUCUGUCUCCAUCUCAUGCAGAACCAGUCAGAAUGUUUAUAACAACAACUAUUUAGCCUGGUAUCAACAGAAAGAUGGAGAAAAGCCUAAACUACUAAUUUACUAUGCUACCACUCGAGAAUCAGGGAUUCCAACUCGUUUUACAGGCAGUGGAUCAAACUCUGAUUUCACUCUGACCAUCAGUGGAGUUCAGGCUGAAGAUUCAGCAGUUUAUUACUGUCAGAGUGUUCACAACAUCAACAGUCAGUAUGUGUUCACACAGUGAAAAACAGUCGUACAAAAACCUCCCUCAUUCAGGCUGAACAGAAACUGAACUGACUGCUGCAGCUGGAAGAUGCUGCAGACACUGAUACAGUUCACUGAACAUCCAUUCUAACAAACACAAGAAUCACGUCAAGGUUACAUUAAAAAAAAGCUCCUCAAGCUUUGAGCAGCUUAAAGUUCAUUUCAAUUUAAAUCAAGACUUCUCCCACAUAAAUAAAAAAAUAAACCAAUCACCCCCUGUAAGAGCCAUUUUGACAUAUUUCUGUUUGUUUUGUUAACUUAAUUUCUAUGAAUAAUAACUUAUUUCUUGUGGCAUAAGUUUAAGUUAAGUUUAAGUUUUAUUAAUUUAUAUAG